rnacentral:lncRNA from 1 species
GCUGAAUUUUCUAUCAACCGACUGUCUCAAUAAGAUCUCAGUUUUCAUCCACCUUUGCAAGUUAUUCCUGUAGAAAAACAUGAUGACUCCUCAGUAUACUAAUUUCUCAACUUGCUGUGGAAACAGAGGAUCUCAUCUAAUUUUACCUCAAUAGUAGAGGCCACUCUCAAAUCGGGAGGGGCACGCGAAUGUUAUCUGAAUUAUUGUAGAAAAACACUGAUGACUCCUCAGUCUACUAAUUUCUCAACUUGCUGUGGAAACAGAGGAUCUCGUCGAAUUUACCUCAAUAGUAGAGGCCACUCUCAAAUCGGGAGGGACACGCGAAUGUUAUCUGAGCUACAGUACAGGGUUUGGCAUUUUUGGUCUUAACUUUUUUGAUCUUUAGGAAGGACUUAUUACCAUCUAUUGAUUAUUAUUAACCAUAUGCUUUCAUAGGAAUACUCUGACUAUAAAUUUGCACAGAAUAAGUGCAUUUUCAUUUUGGUCAGAACUUUUGUAUGAAGCACAGAACAUUGAAGUAUGAAUGGAAUAGAAAAGGCUGGUUACGUUCUCUUUUUUUGGCAAUUAGUUAGAUGGCUAUCACAAAUGACAUUGUUCU